CUUGGCUCCUCCCCGCCAAGGGAGAGAAGAGCUUCAAGAUGGCUGACUAGAGGCACCUGGUACUCACCUCCUCCACAAAGAAGAACCAAAAUAAUGAGUAGAUAUUAAUCACACUUCUAAUAGAUGAUCUAAGGGAGAACACUGGAGUUUAACAAAGAAGUGCCAGCAAACACCUACAGCAAGGAAGGAAAGGGAAGGAGGCAGCCUGCUCUGCUGGGAUCAACUGGGAACCAGGAGGGGCUCCCUAAUGCAGGGAAAGGCUGAAGAAAUCAUACAGAGACUACACUACUACACACACCUGGAAUCAAAGCCAAAGUACCCUACCCGACCAACACCACAGAUACAACUUCAGGAAAAAGUACUCCCCUAUGAAAGCAAAUCCAAAAAAUUGGAAGAAGCAACUGUUACACCAGAUGCACAGAUAUCAAAGUAAGGACACAAGAAACAUGAAAAAGCAAGGAAAUAUAACACCUCCAAGGGAGCAAAUAAUUCUCCAGCAACAGAUUCCAAUGAAAAGAAAAAGCAUGAAAUCCCUCCAAAAAGAAUUUAAGAUAAUGAUACUAAAGAAUCUCAUGAGAUACAAGAGAAUGCAGAAAAACAAUACAAAGAAAUUAGAAAAACAAUUCAGGAUAUGAAUGAGAAAUUUGAAAGAGAUAGAUUUCAUUAAAACAAUCAAAUGUAGAUUUCUG
rnacentral:lncRNA from 10 species